CCUACGGGGGGCUGCAGUGAGGAAUAUUGGUCAAUGGCCGGAAGGCUGAACCAGCCAAGCCGCGUGAGGGAGGAAGGUGCUGUGCGUCGCAGACCUCUUUUGCCGGGGGACAAAAGGCCGGACUCGUCCGGUCCUGAGGGUACCCGGAGCAAAAGCAUCGGCUAACUCCGUGCCAGCCGCCGCGGUAAUACGGAGGAUGCGAGCGUUAUCCUGAUUCAGUGGGUUUAAGGGGUGCGCAGGCGGGUCUUUAAGCCAGCGGUGAAAUCGCGGGGCUCAACCCCGCCGAGCCGUUGGAACUGGGGGCCUUGAGUGCGGGAGAGGCAUGCGGAAUGCGCGGUGUAGCGGUGAAAUGCAUAGAUAUCGCGCAGAACCCCGAUUGCGAAGGCAGCGUGCCGGGCCGCCACUGACGCUGAGGCACGAAAGCGCGGGGAUCGAACAGGAUUAGAUACCCGUGUAGUC
rnacentral:rRNA from 1 species